AGUGAACGCUGGCGGUAGGCCUAACACAUGCAAGUCGAACGGCAGCACAGUAAGAGCUUGCUCUUACGGGUGGCGAGUGGCGGACGGGUGAGGAAUACAUCGGAAUCUACUUUUUCGUGGGGGAUAACGUAGGGAAACUUACGCUAAUACCGCAUACGACCUACGGGUGAAAGCAGGGGAUCUUCGGACCUUGCGCGAUUGAAUGAGCCGAUGUCGGAUUAGCUAGUUGGCGGGGUAAAGGCCCACCAAGGCGACGAUCCGUAGCUGGUCUGAGAGGAUGAUCAGCCACACUGGAACUGAGACACGGUCCCGACUCCUACGGGAGGCAGCAGUGGGGAAUAUUGGACAAUGGGCGCAAGCCUGAUCCAGCCAUACCGCGUGGGUGAAGAAGGCCUUCGGGUUGUAAAGCCCUUUUGUUGGGAAAGAAAAGCAGCAGGUUAAUACCCCGCUGUUCUGACGGUACCAAAAGAAUAAGCACCGGCUAACUUCGUG
rnacentral:rRNA from 1 species